rnacentral:lncRNA from 10 species
CAGGCUUUGAGGAACUGGGUUAAGAAUUAAAUGUAAACCCAUUCUGACUCCAGAAUUAUUUUAAGUCGAACUUUUUUUUUAACCGAAUCUCUCUGUCGCCCAGACUGGAGUACAUUAGAGCCAUCUCGAUUCACUGAAACCUCUGCCUCUCAGGUUCAAGUGUUUCUCCUGCCUCAGCCUUCAGAGUGUAGCUGGGAUUACAAGCGCUCGCCGUCGCGCCCGGCGUGUUUUUGUAUUUUUCGUAGAGACGGGAUUCGGCCAUGUUGGCCAGGCUGAUCCCGAACUCCUGAUUUCUGGUAAUCCGCCCGCCUCAGCCUCUCAAAGUGCUUGAAUUACAGGCGUGAGUCACCGCGACCGGCCGAAAUCGAUUGGUUUUGAAGCCUUCAGUAGCAUUAAAACGAAAAGUGCUCCCAAUGCAUUCCCUUUUGUCUUAAAUUGGUUUCUUACAGCUACUUUACUUGAAAAGGUGGUGGCUCUGAAAAGAGCCUUUGCUUGGACCGUCAGAGAGACCACAGUAAUCACGCCCUCUCUCCGCGGAUGCGGCGGGCGAGCUGGAUGUCCUUGGGCAUGAUAGUGACGCGCUUGGCGUGGAUGGCGCACAGGAGGUGAUGGCCGGAAGAACAUGGCAGAGGGCAAAACAAAACAGCAUUGGGAACAAGCUCUGUUUAAAAGGAGACUUGUGAACAGCAAAGAGUAGAAAGGGUUCUCUUACAACUGAAGCCCAUGGAAGACAAAUGUGUACUGCGUGAGUUUUAAGGCAAUAGGAGUAGUGGGACCUAGGGCACACCAGAGAGCAUAUUAACUCUCAAACUUUUAAAAACAUUAUAUCUGCUGGACACAGUGGCUCACACCUUAAUCCUACAACUUUGGGAGGCCGAGGCGGGCGGGUGUAGCUUGAGCCCAGGAGUUCGAGACCAACCUGGGCAACAUGGCAAAAUCCCGUCCCUACAAAACAAACAAACAAAAAACAAAAUUAGCCAGGCACGGUGAUGCGUACCUGUGGUCCCAGCUACUCAGAGGCUGAGGUGGGAGGAUCGCUUGAGCCCCGGGAGGUUAAGGCUGCAGUGAGCCAUGAUAAUGCCACUGCAUCUCAGCCUGGGCAACAGAGGGAGAACCUGUCUCAAAACAAAAACAAAAACACACCAUACCCAACCACAAUGCAUCUGUCUUAAGUACCAGUACCACACCCCUCUACUCACUACUAAAUAGGUGAGUUCCCAAUCCCUGGUAGCAGGUUUAAGCAUGUUAUAUUAAAGGUCUUAGGCUAGUGACUCAUUCACUCAUUAAACAAAUACUUAUUGUGCAUCUACUAUAAACUAAGUACUGUGCUAGGUACAAAAGCAAAUAAUCUAAGCUCUAUAAACUUUACUUUCUUCAUCAACAAAAUGGAGAUGUUUUAGGCAUCUACUCAUCAUUCUGAGCUCCAUCUUUUGUGACUGUAGUUGGCAGAGCUUUUUAUCAGUUUCUCUAAAUAGCUCUACCAGUCCCUGGUGGAUGCUGGCAUGCCCAAAGGAUCCAUCCUGAUGGCCCUGUCUGCUUACCUUACCUGCCUGCCUUUGCAGCACCGCUCUGCUCUUCUGCAGGACUUCCCUUAUCCUUUGGGGUCUUGCUGCUCUUAGGCUGCUCUGCUUGUUUUGAUCUGCUUUGCAUCACAUGUAUGUAAAGGUCCUUUCCUUAUUUACCCAUGACCAAGGUAUUAUGAGAUUCUGGAAUUUCCCCAAACCACAUUGAUUGCUGGGAGAAUAGAAGAAGUGGAUUACAAGUGGAACUUAGAAGGGGAGUAUUCGAGAAGACGUCUCUGCAAAUCCAUUUAGAGAGACCUUUCUCCAGUGGUGACUCAAAGAUGCAGCUCCUUUCAUCCUGUGGCUUGGCCAUCUUCAGCACAUGGCUCCCAAGGAUGUCCUCAGGAUGGUCUCUAAUCCAAGGAGCCUGAAGAGAAAAAAAGGCAUGGAGUAUUGUGAGUGGUAGGUGGUUAUGGACCAGUUAUGGAAGAAUACACAUCACUUUUGCCCACCUUCUACUAACCAGAACUCACACAGCCAUAGACACUGACAAGUAGGACUUAACAAGAAUCUAAUUUUGAGUCUAGGAAUACGACUGUAGCAAAUAUUUAACAGCUUCAAACACAGGUGCAUUGCUAUCACUAUGCUUGGCCCAGGCCUGUCUCCCUUUCCUGCCAUGUCACAGGGGCCAGCAUUUAUGUCUAGAUUGGGUUGGUUGGGAUAUUAAGACAAUAAUGAACCAAUACAACAUCUUGAGCAUAAAACCAACUGAUACAAUGAUGUACAAGUCAGAUGAUUCUGAUGAUUAUGAAUUAUGUCAAUAAAAGAAAUGUGAUAACUAA